ensembl:lncRNA novel transcript
AGGCCUGCAGAGACUGCUCAGUCACAGUUGAAGGAGACCUACUGAGUCCUGAGGACAACCAACAAAGGCCUUAACGGCACAGAAGGAAGUCCUGUCUUCUGGGAUUGAGUUUGGUUGUGACAUCAGAAAGUUGAUAGACGUGAUCGCUAAGAAUCUUGCCGAAUAUUCUAGGACUACAAGUAAAAGAGACCCUAUUUUCUGUGCUGGGAAAAGAGUAAUAUAGAGAGGAGCCCACCCUUUUCUUACUAUACAGAGAAGAGUAAAACACAGUCACCUUUACACAGCAUCUGAGUGGACCUAACACAGGGCAGUGAAAGUGAUGCAGAACAAACUUCAAAGCCUCCAGGAGCACACGUGACCUCAGUUUUCAGGAGGCCUCCAGAACUUCCUGCUGCCCCAGAACCAGUUUGCCAUGUUCCUGUACUGCUUCAUCUUCAUUCACAUCAUCUAUGUCACCAAGGAGAUGGUCUUCUUUCUCUUCGCCAAGCACUACCUAUUCUGCAUUGCAGCCAUUUUGCUCUGUUUGAUUAAAACUUUCUGGUCAU